rnacentral:rRNA from 1 species
AGUGAACGCUGGCGGUAGGCCUAACACAUGCAAGUCGAACGUCAGCACAGUAAGAGCUUGCUCUUACGGGUGGCGAGUGGCGGACGGGUGAGGAAUACAUCGGAAUCUACUUUUUCGUGGGGGAUAACGUAGGGAAACUUACGCUAAUACCGCAUACGACCUACGGGUGAAAGCAGGGGAUCUUCGGACCUUGCGCGAUUGAAUGAGCCGAUGUCGGAUUAGCUAGUUGGCGGGGUAAAGGCCCACCAAGGCGACGAUCCGUAGCUGGUCUGAGAGGAUGAUCAGCCCCACUGGAACUGAGACACGGGCCAGCUCCCAACGGGGGGACGCAGGGGGGAAUAUUGGAAAAUGGGGGCAAGCCUGAUCCAGCCAACCCGGGUGGGUGAAGAAGGCCUUCGGGUUGUAAAGCCCUUUUUUUGGGAAAGAAAAGCAGCAGGUUAAUACCCCGCUGUUCGGACGGUACCCAAAAAAUAAACACCGGCUAACUUCGU